AUACUUACCUGGCAGGGGAGAUACCAUGAUCACGAAGGUGGUUUUCCCAGGGCGAGGCUUAUCCAUUGCACUCCAGGUGUGCUGACCCCUGCGAUUUCCCCAAAAUGUGGGAAACUCAACUACAUAAUUUGUGAUAGUGGGGGACUGCGUUUGCGCUCUCCCCUU
rnacentral:snRNA from 1 species